UAUGUGUGUUCUGAAUGUGGACACGAGUUAUUUUCUAGCAAAUCGAAGUUUGAGCACUCUUCUCCUUGGCCGGCCUUCUCAGAGACGAUCCACGAGGACAGCGUGUCCAAACAGCCUGAAGCAUGGGGACCCCUAAAGGUUUGUUGUGGGAAGUGUGGCAACGGAUUGGGCCACGAGUUCUUGUACGACGGGCCGAGAGAGGGGCUGUCACGCUUCUGAAUCUUCAGCAGCUCACUGAAGUUCAUCCCUAAAGAAGAGGCUGGUGGACAGAAAGGUGAGCAGUAAAAGAGGAACAUGUUUGCUGAAGGUGCACACAGUGAAUGAAGUGUUCGAGGACAAAGCCUGAUGGAUCUCCUGGACGCUGAUGGACGGUGGGCGCAUUAAACAGCAAGGAAAGAAAGAGGGUUUUUGGUUUAAAUCGUGAGUCUAAAGACGGAAAUAAAAUCAGCAACUUUGCAGGUUUAGUUUAAUAAGUUAAUGUGUCAGUAGAAUUAGAUUUUCUUAGUUGUACACACUUUCUGAGCUGCAGUGCAAAUUAGAUGCACCUAAGACAGUAGAGUACUAAGACAAGAAAUGCAGUUUAGCAUCUAACUAGAGGGGUAAAAGCAGCAGUAUUUACCUUUUGUAAUGUAUAGUAUAAACAACAGUUUACAGUGCAGACAGAGAUCUAUGAAUAUGACAUGAAUAUACAGAUAUAUAGAUUCAACAUAAAAUAGAUCAUUUUAAUCUACAGGUGGAGAUAAGUAGCAGUAUGUGGAGUAUAAACAGUACAGAUGAUAUAAACCAGGGGUGUCAAACUCAUUUUAGUUCAGGGGCAACAUUCACGCCAAUUUGAUCUGAAGUGACCAGUACAAUCAUAGCAUAAUAACCUAUAAAUAACCACAACUCCACAUUUUUCUUUUGUUUUAGUCCAAAAAUAUUCACGUUCAAGGAAUUAUCUUUUUUGCAAAACAUUAUGAACAACCUGAAAUUUCUUAAGAGAAAUAAGUUUAAUUUCAACAAUAUUAUGCCUCAGUUUAUCAUUUACACAUUACAACUUCCAGAGCAGAGUGUCUACAAAGGAACACAACAUUUAGUCUCAGGUAUCUGGAACUGAAUGAUAUAGUGUUUUACUUUAUGAUCAAAAUGACAAAAGUCAGACAAAAAAGACCAAAAACAACAAAAACAAGACACAAUAUUGCAAAAAUGAGAACAACAAAAAGAACAAAUGACACAAGCGAGACAAAAAACAACGAAUAAAGCAAAACACAGAAUGACACAAGACAAAAAACACAAGCGAGACAUAGAGGAAACACAAAACAACAAAAACAAGAAACAAAAUGACAAAAACAUGAGACAAACGACAAAAGUCUGUCAAAAAACAAGACAAAAAAAGACAAAAUAUUACAAAAAUGAGACACAAAAUGACAAAAGAACAAUGAACAAUCUAGUAUUUUACUUUGUGAUCAAAACAACUUGUCAUGGUCUAGAAAUUAUUUUAAAAUUAUAGUUUUACAAAUGCAAAAUCUGCAAUUAAUGUCUUCUCUGUAAUUUUUACACUUUACAAAGUCGUCCUGCGAUUGGACCCUCUGGCGGGCUGCUUUUGGCCCGCAGGCCGCAUGUUUGACACCCCUGAUAUAAACUGUAUAAACAUUUUAAUGCUACGAGAUAUAUGCAGUAUUUAUACAAUAUAAACUGUAUAAACAAUCUUGGGAUACGAGAUGUAGCAUGUAUGCAGUAUGUGUAAAUAUAUAUUUAAAUUCACCUAUGAAAUGUAAACAUAGUGGAGAGCAGACUUUGUCCUUCUUCAAAUGUGUAAUUACACAAUUCCAUCAGUGGAUGGGGCUAUAGACUCUGAAAAUAUCCCACAAAAAACUGCUUUAUAACUCACCAGACUGUAUGUGGACAUAAAGUAUUUUUUUUUCUCGGUGCAGAAAGCGAAGAUCUACAGACAGUUUUUAAGGUUAGAAUUUUGGAAUCCAACCAAUCACAAAACACCAUCAGGAGGCUUCUGAUCAGCCCAAAAUUCAUUCUGCGGCACAAAAACGACCCCAAAACCACAGAAUGAUCUUCAGUUACAGGCAGAACAAGGAGUCCUGCAGCAGAUUUGGUAUUACAUAAGGAGACAGAAGCAAGAAAGACAACACAAAACCCACAAAAGGUCUUCCAGAGUACCUCAAAAAAUGUGUGCAAUCGAUGCUACAGUUUGUGUGAAGUUAACUAAGAAUCCUUUCUUUACUUUUACUGCCUGAAUUUAUUGCACAGUGUUAUAUAUUGUCUAUAACAAUCUAUAACAGAUUAAUCUCAUUUCUAUGCUGUAGAACAACACGCAACAUGCAUUUUUAGUGGCUUUUUGCUGCCGCUGUACAUUCAUUUCUUCCUUUUUAGGAAAAUUUCCUUUCGUAAAUGUGGGAAGUUUCUGAAUUCUGUCUAUAAAAUAAACUCUGCUCCAUAAGAAAGAUGUUUUCAUCACAAUAAAUAGCUGUUUUAAUGGGAUUUGGUUGAAAUUGUAGCUAAAAUCCACCUAUUGAGAGUGAAACCAGCGAUCUUUUUUAGUAUUGUUGGUAAAAUGUUGGUUCUCAGCUCCUUGUUUUUCUACUCAGCACAGUUUUCCAUUUAUCUCUUCACGCGCUUCUUGGCUGGUGGUGUGGUGGAAUUUCAAACAAAGCGAGGACGUGGGGGUGCGUUGGACGUCUCAUGCUGUUUAAGUGUCUGGGAUGAGCAGGUGUGGUGCUGCUGAUUUCAAAGACUAUGAGAUCAGAGGGGGAGAUGAAAGCUUUCGGUGUCAGUCACAGGAUUAAGAAAAGGAAGUGCAAACAUUCAGAGAUGGUUACGCUGAAGCAUUUACAGCAAAAACUAUUUGAUGUGAUGAUGAUUUUGUCUGUAAGGUGUGAUCAAAACUUUUCAGUUCACUGUGGAGAAAGUGGCAGUUAGAAAUGUGCAGGUCUAGCGUGCUGGAGUCCCCUUGUAACUGAAGAAUAGUAUCGUUGAUUGAGUUUAAAGGUUUUUGUCUAAAGUGAUGCUCAGGUCACUGUUAUUUCCAAUGUUUAGCCAAGAGCGAAAUAAGAUGAUUGUUGGGAUAGCAAGUCUAAUAUUAAGGCAAACAUUGUAAAGUACCUGAGCAAUUUAAAUAUUACUGUUAAAACCAUACAAAAUGAUGUAAAUUACAAAUCUACCUGACUAAAAUAAACUGAAAGAUAGACAGAGACCCUGCAAGAUUACACAUGGUAAACCCAACAAAUCUAAGAAUUUCCUAAGUUUAUUUGCAACAAUGGAGAGGAAAAACUCAUUUUAACAGAGAUCCUCCAGCAGAAGCAGGCUCAGAGAGAACUGACGUCUGCCUCGACCGGUCGGGGUGACGGUAAAUGGGAAAGUAAAGAUAGCAGAAAGAAACAAACAAAAGAACUUGAACACUGGACAGAUUGGCAAGUACAGAUGCUGCAGAUUAGACCAGUGCAGCUCCACAACCAGAAAUAGCUGCAGAAAGGUACAAGAAGAGAGAACAGAGAGGAUAAAGUUAAUAAAAUGAAAUAAAUGCAUGGAGCAAAUGGGCGAAAAAGGAUGAACACAUGAAGACGGCCAUGUGAACACGAUAGCUAAGGAAAAAUUCAUUGGUUAGUUUUUUUAAAAAGCGCCAAAUCCCAUGAAAUGCCACUAAUUCAAACUGAUAGCUGUAGCGCUAAUGUUGCCUCAUCUCCAUGUCUCCAUUAAGCAACUCAUGCCUUCACUGUCACUGGUUAUACACCACCAUUCAAAAGAUUAGGCUCACCCAGACAGUUUAAUGUUUUCCAUGAAAACUCCCACUUUUAUCCAUGUGCUAACAGAACUGCACAAGGGUUUUCUAAUCAUCAAUGAGCCUUUCAACACCAUUAGCUAACACAAUGUAGCAUUAGAACACAGGAGUGAUGGUUGCUGGAAAUGUUCCUCUGUACCCCUAUGGAGAUAUUCCAUUAAAAAUCAGCUGUUUCCAGCUACAAUAGUCAUUUACCACAUUAACAAUGUCUACACUGUAUUUGUGAUUGAUUCAUUUAAUGUUAUCUUCAUUGGAAACAAAAAACUGCUUUUCUUUAAAGAUUAAGGACAUUUCUAAGUGAGCUUAAACUUUUGAACAGCAGUGUAAGUGCCUCUUCUGUAUUGCCACCAUGCACAGCUGCUAAACAGAUCAAACUGUGAACUUGCGAGUGGGAAAAGGAAAGUCUGAAAGUGGAAGAGUGACAUCCUCAACCAAAAUCCAAAAGAUAAACCAGAUGCGAGAGGGAAAAAUAAAGGGGGAAACUGCUCCGAACGCAGGACUGUAAUUAGCAUCUACUAUCUGGGAGAACAGUCUCUGUGGCUGGCAUCUGAGCACAGCUGUAUGGCCGAGAGGAAGCAAACAGGAAGACGUGGUAAUCCUCUGAUAGAAUCAUGAGGCAGAUUUUUCUCCCGCUGACCUCUGGGGCUCAUCCUGCUCCUGAGCAAACGGGAUCCUUAAUUACAUUAAACCACUGCCACUGCAACAGUCCCCAAGGCCGAGCCCGGAGCUGGAGCUGAACACGUGUGCACCGCUGCCAUGUUGCUUUGAUUGUAACGUGUACACGCCUGUUGCUUAGAUGUGGAUGUUUAUGGGGCGCUGCACCUGCUUCUGUUAACUCAUUCUGACUUUAUACAUCAUCAGGGUAGCGUUUGCUGCAACAUCUGCCCUCCAGCGCUUCACAACGGGAGCUGGGAUCACUUAGUUGCAGGAAUAAGGCUCCUGAAUACAUGGCUGUAAGAAAAAUAAAGACAUUUCCUUUCAUCAGGGAGUAAUAUCUACAGAAUGUGAGCUAAGCAGCUGUACAGGACGUCUCCAUCCAUACGUGGACGGCUGCCCUGCACAUGUUUCAGACGUACACAUGUCGGCCGUCUGCCUCUGAGUAACGAAUGGAAGGAAAAACAGAGCUUUUUUACAUGACACCGGAAUGUGAUUUCCGCUCUGAAGCAAAGGAACGUUGAGGGAACUGGAGGUUCUGCUGGUCGGGUAUUGUUGCAACUCUGGCAGGAUCACAUGGGUCAUUCCAGAACUGGAGGACAUUUACAUCAAAUUUCAAAUAAUCCACGUACAAAAUACUAAAACAUGCGGUUGUUGUGUAAAUGUUCUUGUCCUCAGACCAAAUCUAAAAAAACUAGGAGAAAAGAAUGUUAAAAAUAUCUUUAAAUUCCAAAUCAGUCUGAACUUUCCCCUAAAAUGUCAUUUUUCUCUUGUUCCACCCCCCUGAUGACCAAAUUCAAUCUCACAUAAAACAGUUAAAAUGAAAUUUAAAUUUCUUUUUUUGUUUUCUUUUUUCAUUGAUGUCUCUUGUAAUUGAAGAAGCAUUUUUUUGAUCAACACAAUAUUUUAAAUAAUAAUUGUUUUACAUGGAACGUGUGUCCCACAACAACUCUGUUAGCAGAACCUUUUUAGCUGGUAGAAGAAGAAGAAAACAGUGAAUCACAUGAGAUGCUGGAAUUAACAUCAGCAAGUUUUCCUAAAGAACGAGUAGAGCAAAACUAUGUCCUCUCUUCUAUUUUUCAUGUUUCAAUAACAUUGUCUUGAUUGAAUGUCUUGUUUUGGUCUUGUUUAUGUCAUUUUGUUUUGUUUCUGACAUUUUCUGUUUCAUUUUUGUCAUUUUGUAUCUUGUUUUUGUCAUUUUGUGUUGUUUUUGUCAUUUUGUGUCUUGUUUUUGUUAUUGUGUCUUAUUUUUGUCAUUUUGUGUCUUGUUUUUGCCGUUUUGUGUCUUAUGUCGUUUUUAUCUCGUUUUUGUCAU